AUUGAACGCUGGCGGCAGGCCUAACACAUGCAAGUCGAGCGGAGCGGCGGACGGGGGAGUAAUGCCUAGGAAUCUGCCUGGUAGUGGGGGAUAACGUCCGGAAACGGGCGCUAAUACCGAAUACGAUCAGAUGAGCCUAGGCCGGAUUUGCUAGUUGGUGGGGUAAAGGCCUUCCAAGGCGACGACCCGUAACUGGUCUGAGAGGAUGAUCAGUCACACUGGAACUGAGACACGGUCCAGACUCCUACGGGAGGCAGCAGUGGGGAAUAUUGGACAAUGGGCGCAAGCCUGAUCCAGCCAUGCCGCGUGUGUGAAGAAGGUCUUCGGAUUUUAAAGCACUUUAAGUUGGGAGGCGUUACCAACAGAAUAAGUACCGGCUAACUUCGUGCCAGCCGCCGCGGUAAUUC
rnacentral:rRNA from 1 species